UACAGAAGGUGCGAGCGUUAAUCGGAAUCACUGGGCAUAAAGGGCGCGUAGGCGGGCCGUAAAGUCAGGGGUGAAAUCCUCCAGCUUAACUGGAGAACUGCCUUUGAUACUGACGGCCUCGAGUGAGGUAGGGGCGUGCGGAACUGAUGGUGGAGCGGUGAAAUGUGUUGAUAUCAUCAGGAACUCCGGUGGCGAAAGCGGCACGCUGGACCUUUACUGACGCUGAGGCGCGAAAGCCAGGGGAGCGAACGGG
rnacentral:rRNA from 1 species